GACGAACGCUGGCGGCGUGCCUAAUACAUGCAAGUUGAGCGCUGAAGGUUGGUACUUGUACCAACUGGAUGAGCAGCGAACGGGUGAGUAACGCGUGGGGAAUCUGCCUUUGAGCGUGGGACAACAUCGGGAAACGAAUGCUAAUACCGCAUAAUAUCUUUAAACACAAGGUUUAAGUUUGAAAGAUGCAAUUGCAUCACUCAAUGAUGAUCCCGCGUUGUAUUAGCUAGGUUGUUAGGGAAAGGCCUUCCAAGGCGAUGAUACAUAGCCGACCUGAGAGGGUGGUCGGCCCCAAUGGGACCGAGACAAGGGCCCAACCCCCAAGGGAGGCAGCAGGAGGGGAACCUCGGGCAUGGAGGGAAGUCUUGACGGGGAACGCCGCGGGGGGGAAGGAGGUUCUCGGAUUGGAAAACUCCGUUUGUAGGGAAGGAAGAAGGGGGGAGUUAAAUGCGCAUGAAGUGACGGUACCUACUCAGAAAGCGACGGCUAACUACGUG
rnacentral:rRNA from 1 species